rnacentral:rRNA from 1 species
CUGGCGUCAGAACGAACGACUGGUAGCGUGGAGUUAGGCGAUGCAAGUCGAACGGGAGUCGCCGAGUUAGCAAUAACAAGGCGUGAGAGUGGCGGAGUUGGGAGGAACACGUGAGCAACCUGCCUUUGAGUUGGGGAAAACCGUUGGAAACGACGGCUAAUACCGGAUGUGGCGCCUGGGGACAUCCCCGGAGCGCUAAAGGGGGCGACCCGCAAGGGGCUCCCGCUCGAAGAUGGGCUCGCGCACCAUCAGCUUGUUGGCGGGGUAACGGCCCACCAAGGCUUACGGUUAGCUGGUCUGAGAGGAUGACCAGCCCCACUGGGACUGAGAUACUGCCCAGACUCCUACGGGAGGCUGCAGUCGAGGAUCAUUUGCAAUGGGCGAAAGCCUGACAAUGCGACGCUGCGUGGAAGGAUGAAGGCCUUCGGGUUGUAAACUCCUGUCAUGAGGGAAAAGGCGAGGGUACCCAAUACGUACCUUAGUUGAUGGUACCUCAAGAGGAAGGGACGGCUAACUCUGUGCCAGCAGCAGC